GCUGAUGCUGCUGUGCUGUGGUUCAUGGACAUUAUGAAAAGUAUCCACCAAAAAAUGAAUAUGAUUAUGAUAUUAAUACUCCAGUAGAAGAUGAUACUUGCUCCACUGAUGGUAAGUAUUGUAAAUUUACUAACAUUACAAAUUGUAAUGUUAGUAAACAUAAUAUUCAUCAUUUUUGUAGCUGAAAUUGUGCAGCCAAAUACAACAUCAGUCCCUUUAAACAGAGCUGAUGUAUAUGAUUGUAGCGGAUCAAUUACUAAUAAUUAUAAUAUCAAUGAAUGUGAAUGAAGUUUUACCUAUUCACUUUCCAACAGAAAAUUCCUUUAUUGAUAAAUCACUGAGUGUUGAAGAGAAGCCAGGAGCACUUGUAACAGACAUUAUGUUAAACAAUUCUACUGAAGUGGUAUAACAAUUAAUAUUAUUUUUAUGACAAACUCCAUUGAAUUAUUUUUUAUUAUCAACAGGUUGCUACAAGUUGUGAAGUAAUGACAAGUAAUGAAUACAGUACACCAAAUGUUUCUGAAGAUUAUUCAGAUUAUAAAAAUCAUGGGGUGAGUACUAUUUUAAAUAAGACAGUACUUUAUUUUGUUUAAUUUAGGUACCAGAAGUAAUGCAACGCACUGGUAAUAAAGUAAACUUACUAACACAAAUUUUUCA